rnacentral:tRNA from 1 species
GGUUGUGGCUUAAUGGUAGAGUGCUUGCCUAGCAUGUGUGAGGCACUGGGUUUGAUUUUCAGCACGGCCGAUAAAUAAAUAAAAAAUAAACCAUAUAUAUAUAUAUAUAUAUGGAUAUAUGGCUGGGACAUAGCACAGCAGUAGGGCACUCCUGGGUUCAAUCCUCAGUACCA